rnacentral:tRNA from 1 species
AAAGACCUAUAGGACCUUAUCCUACAUCAC